rnacentral:rRNA from 1 species
CCUACGGGUGGCUGCAGUGGGGAAUAUUGGACAAUGGGCGAAAGCCUGAUCCAGCCAUGCCGCGUGUGUGAAGAAGGCCUUCGGGUUGUAAAGCACUUUCAGUGGGGAAGAAAGCCUUGGGGCUAAUACCCUCGAGGAAGGACAUCACCCACAGAAGAAGCACCGGCUAACUCCGUGCCAGCAGCCGCGGUAAUACGGAGGGUGCGAGCGUUAAUCGGAAUUACUGGGCGUAAAGCGCGCGUAGGCGGUCUGAUAAGCCGGUUGUGAAAGCCCCGGGCUCAACCUGGGAACGGCAUCCGGAACUGUCAGGCUAGAGUGCAGGAGAGGAAGGUAGAAUUCCCGGUGUAGCGGUGAAAUGUGUAGAGAUCGGGAGGAAUACCAGUGGCGAAGGCGGCCUUCUGGACUGACACUGACGCUGAGGUGCGAAAGCGUGGGUAGCAAACAGGAUUAGAUACCCUGGUAGUC